rnacentral:rRNA from 1 species
GAGUUUGAUCAUGGCUCAGAACGAACGCUGGCGGCAGGCCUAAUACAUGCAAGUCGAACGCACUCUUCGGAGUGAGUGGCAGACGGGUGAGUAACGCGUGGGAACCUUCCCAAUGGUACGGAAUAACUCCGGGAAACCGGUGCUAAUACCGUAUAAGCCCCUCGGGGGAAAGAUUUAUCGCCAAUGGAUGGGCCCGCGUCGGAUUAGCUAGUUGGUAAGGUAAUGGCUUACCAAGGCUACGAUCCGUAGCUGGUCUGAGAGGAUGAUCAGCCACACUGGGACUGAGACACGGCCCAGACUCCUACGGGAGGCAGCAGUAGGGAAUCUUGGACAAUGGGCGAAAGCCUGAUCCAGCCAUGCCGCGUGAGUGAAGAAGGCCUUAGGGUUGUAAAGCUCUUUUGGCGGGGACGAUAAUGACGGUACCCGCAGAAUAAGCCCCGGCUAACUUCGUGCCAGCAGCCGCGGUAAUACGAAGGGGGCUAGCGUUGUUCGGAAUUACUGGGCGUAAAGCGCACGCAGGCGGAUUGAUUAGUCGGGGGUGAAAUCCCGGGGCUCAACCUCGGAAUUGCCUUCGAUACUGUCAGUCUUGAGUCC